rnacentral:rRNA from 1 species
AUCAUGGCUCAGGAUGAACGCUAGCGGCAGGCUUAAUACAUGCAAGUCGUGGGGCAGCGCAGUGUAGCAAUACAUGGGCGGCGACCGGCAAACGGGUGCGGAACACGUACACAACCUUCCUACAAGUGGGGAAUAGCCCAGAGAAAUUUGGAUUAAUACCCCGUAACAUAUAAAGAUGGCAUCAUUUUUAUAUUAUAGCUACGGCGCUUGUUGAUGGGUGUGCGGCUGAUUAGGUAGUUGGCGGGGUAAUGGCCCACCAAGCCUGCGAUCAGUAGCUGAUGUGAGAGCAUGAUCAGCCACACGGGCACUGAGACACGGGCCCGACUCCUACGGGAGGCAGCAGUAAGGAAUAUUGGACAAUGGGCGCAAGCCUGAUCCAGCCAUGCCGCGUGAAGGAUUAAGGUCCUCUGGAUUGUAAACUUCUUUUAUAAGGGACGAAAAAAGGGAAUUCUUUCUCACUUGACGGUACCUUAUGAAUAAGCACCGGCUAACUCCGUG